GACGAACCGAGCGAACGUUGUUCGGAAUUAUUGGGCGUAAAGGGUGCGUAGGCGGUUUGGUAAGUCUGAUGUGAAAUCUAUGGGCUCAACUCAUAGUCUGCAUCGGAAACUGCCGGGCUUGAGUGUGGGAGAGGUGAGUGGAAUUCCUGGUGUAGCAGUGAAAUGCGUAGAUAUCAGGAGGAAUACCGAUGGCGAAGGCAGGUCACUGGGCCGCAACUGACGCUGAGGAGCGAAAGCAUGGGGGGCGAACAGG
rnacentral:rRNA from 1 species